AGUGAACGCUGGCGGUAGGCCUAACACAUGCAAGUCGAACGGCAGCACAGUAAGAGCUUGCUCUUACGGGUGGCGAGUGGCGGACGGGUGAGGAAUACAUCGGAAUCUACUUUUUCGUGGGGGAUAACGUAGGGAAACUUACGCUCAUACCGCAUACGACCUACGGUUGAAAGCAUUGGAUCUUCGGACCUGUCGCGAUUGAAUGAGCCGAUGUCGGAUUAGCUAGUUGGCCGGGUAAAGGCCCACCAAGGGGACGAUCCGUAGCUGGUGUGAGAGGAUGGUCGGCCACAUUGGAAGUGAGCCAGGGUCCAGGCUACUACGGGAGGCAGCAGUGGGGAAUAUGGGACAAAGGGCGGAAGCCUGAUACAGCCAUAGCGCGUGGGUGAAGAAGGCCUUCGGGUUGUAAAGCCCUUUUGUUGGGAAAGAAAAGCAGCAGGUUAAUACCCCGCUGUUCUGACGGUACCCAAAGAAUAAGCACCGGCUAACUUCGUG
rnacentral:rRNA from 1 species